UGGCGAAGGUUGAUUGCAGUGUAGAAGUUGACUUGUGUAGUAGUCAUCACAUCUAAGGGUAUCCAUCCAUUCGUAUUUUUCGUAAAGGCAGCGAUGUGAGGGAAUCCCAUGGACACCACGAACACAAAUCUUAUUAUGGAGAUCGUGAUACAGAAACCCUGGUUAAGGUAUGACUAAAUUAGUUUUGAACUGGCCAUUUGAGUUUAUAGAUCGGUUACAGAAAUCUUAUAAGAUAAAGGUGCAUACAUGACCUAAUGCUGCUGUCUGUUUCU